rnacentral:rRNA from 1 species
CUCAUGGUUUCACGGUAUUGCAAUGAGAACAAUUUAAAACCCUUAGCGAGAAUCAAGUGGAGGACAAGUCUGGUGCCAGCACCCGCGGUAAUUCCAGCUCCACUAGCGUAUAUUAAAGUUGUUGCAGUUAAAAAGCUCGUAGUUGAACCUCUGUCUGGGGCUAGUUUUGGCUUUGGUCAGGCUAGUUCUAGGCAUCCGCCUACAAGACUUAGAGGGCAUUCAGUUGUUCACUAGGAGGAGUAGGCAUUUUACUUUGAAAAAAUUAGAGUGUUUAAGGCAGGCAAUCGCCCGCAUAUAUUAGCAUGGAAUAAUAGAAUAGGACACUUUUCCAUUUCGUUGGUUAUUGGAAUCGUGUAAUGAUUAAUAGGGACAGUUGUGGGCAUUUGUAUUUAAUUGUCAGAGGUGAAAUUCUUGGAUUUAUUAAAGACAAACUAACGCGAAAGCAUUUGCCAAGGAUGUUUUCAUUAAUCAAGAACGAAAGUUAGGGGAUCAAAGACGAUCAGAUACCGUCCUAGUCUUAACUAUAAACUAUUCCGACUCAAUGUUUGACUGGCUUAUAUAACCAGUUGAGCGUUGUAUGAGAAAUCAAAGUCUUUAGGUUCUGGGGGGAGUAUGGUUGCAAAGCUGAAACUUAAAGGAAUUGACGGAAGAGCACAACCAGGAGUGGAUUCUGCGGCUUAAUUUGACUCAACACGGGGAAACUUACCAGGUUAAAACAAUAGUGGGAUUGACAGUUUGAGAGCGCUUUCUUGAUUGGUUGGGUGGUGGUGCAUGGCCGUUCUUAGUUGGUGGAGUGAUUUGUCUGCUUAAUUGCGUUAACGAACGAGACCUUAACCUGCUUACUAGACUGGCGAUCAUCAAUCGUUAGCUCUUCUUAGAGGGACUUUGGUUGUUUUAACUCCAAGGAAGUUUGAGGCAAUAACAGGUCUGUGAUGCCCUUAGAUAUCCUGGGCCGCACGCGUCAUACAAUGACUAGUUCAGAAAGUUUUCUCCUGACCCGAAAGGGGAUGGGUAAUCUUGAUAAUACUAGUCGUGUUAGGGAUCGAUCUUUGCAAUUAUAGAUCUUGAACGAGGAAUUCCUAGUAAGUGCGGUUCAUCAGACCGUACUGAUUACGUCCCUGCUCUUUGUACACACCGCCCGUCGCUUCUACCGAGUGGGUGGUCCGGUGAGAUAACUGAACUUCGCAGGUAACUGAGAGGAAAGAUUAUCAAACCUAUCCACCU